UACGUAGGUGGCAAGCGUUAUCCGGAUUUAUUGGGCGUAAAGAGAACGCAGGCGGUCUUUUAAGUCUGAUGUGAAAGCCUUCGGCUUAACCGGAGUAGUGCAUUGGAAACUGGGAGACUUGAGUGCAGAAGAGGAGAGUGGAACUCCAUGUGUGGCGGUGAAAUGCGUAGAUAUAUGGAAGAACACCAGUGGCGAAAGCGGCUCUCUGGUCUGUAACUGACGCUGAGGUUCGAAAGCGUGGGUAGCAAACAGG
rnacentral:rRNA from 1 species